UAGUUUUUUACUUACACUUUCAUCAUAGACGCCUACUCAAACAUGACACAUUAUUCACCACCGGUUGUGUUACACUGAUGGUCAUUGCUCCUCAAGUUCUUUGAUGUAUGGAGGUGUUCAGAAAAUAUAAACAGUAACGGUGCCAGAGCUUGAUUCGUCACCACAGGUCAAUACCGUACUAGCUUCUUAUUUUUAAGCAGGACCCAAGUGUGGAGGAUCUGUUGCGCCCACAAUGUCUCCCGCAUCUCCGCUCUCCCAACAGCGCUGUCAGAGCCUAAACUUUUCAGUUGCAGCUGUCCAAAUUCAAAUUCUCUUCCAACCAUCAGACAUUCACUAUCUCCACUCUUCGAUCGCAACUGAUAUAGACACAGUAGUAGCUAACUAACAUUGGGAUAGACGGAGGCAAUCACAACCCUGCCGAUGAUACACCAGGAGCUACAUGUGUUUUCUGCAAGAGUUCUGAGGGAAUGAAGCUCACUGGUAGCUACUGGUCUUGCUCAUGAAACACAUCAGCUCGCAAGUCAAAAUGACUUGAACUUCUCAAGUUUCAGAUAUUACGACCCUAUUUACUAGCAAGUCUUGAUAUCACCUACUAUGUUUUCAAAUUAUGCGCACAAUAAAUUCGUACUUUGCACUUAUCCAAAACUUUUUGAUUUGCUUAUUUGCUACUUUUGGUCAACUUAUUAACAGAAAACAACAAUGUCCUACAAACUUAAUGAAAUGAUGAUGUUUUCUCCAUC